rnacentral:lncRNA from 1 species
CGAUGAGUCAGUUUUCAUGAGGAAGUAACGAAAAGAUCAUAUGGGCAGUAUAUUAAGAGAUAAUCAGAUUUUUGUGGGACAGGUCCAGAACGGUUUCUGGAUUCCCUGUUCCGACUUUGGAAAUUCAUUAUAAACUAACCAGAGAUAAUUAGGGGUUGUACCAUAUAUGUACAGAUUCCUGUCUGAGUCUAGUUUUCAUAGAAACAAACGGCAUCAGCAUUGAAGCCCCGGGC